AUACAUGCAGUCGAGCGGACUUGAAGGAGUGCUUGCACUCCUGAGAGUUAGCGGCGGACGGGUGAGUAACACGUAGGCAACCUGCCCUCAAGACUGGGAUAACUACCGGAAACGGUAGCUAAUACCGGAUAAUUUAUUACAUAGCAUUAUGUGAUAAUGAAAGACGGAGCAAUCUGUCACUUGGGGAUGGGCCUGCGGCGCAUUAGCUAGUUGGUGGGGUAACGGCCCACCAAGGCGACGAUGCGUAGCCGACCUGAGAGGGUGAACGGCCACACUGGGACUGAGACACGGCCCAGACUCCUACGGGAGGCAGCAGUAGGGAAUCUUCCGCAAUGGGCGAAAGCCUGACGGAGCAACGCCGCGUGAGUGAUGAAGGUUUUCGGAUCGUAAAGCUCUGUUGCCAAGGAAGAACGUCUCAUAGAGUAACUGCUAUGAGAGUGACGGUACUUGAGAAGAAAGCCCCGGCUAACUA
rnacentral:rRNA from 1 species